rnacentral:rRNA from 1 species
UAAGGAAUAUUGGUCAAUGGGCGCAAGCCUGAACCAGCCAUGCCGCGUGCAGGAAGACGGCCCUCCGGGUUGUAAACUGCUUUUAUUCGGGAAUAAACCUCUCCACGGGUGGGGAGCUGAAUGUACCGAAGGAAUAAGGAUCGGCUAACUCCGUGCCAGCAGCCGCGGUAAUACGGAGGAUCCAAGCGUUAUCCGGAUUUAUUGGGUUUAAAGGGUGCGUAGGCGGCCUGUUAAGUCAGGGGUGAAAGACGGUAGCUCAACUAUCGCAGUGCCCUUGAUACUGAUGGGCUUGAAUGUACUAGAGGCAGGCGGAAUGUGACAAGUAGCGGUGAAAUGCAUAGAUAUGUCACAGAACACCGAUUGCGAAGGCAGCUUGCUAUGGUACCAUUGACGCUGAGGCACGAAAGCGUGGGGAUCAAACA